rnacentral:rRNA from 1 species
AUGUCGAGCGCGGUGGUGAGCGGGCUGGCCGGCGCCGGCGGCGGUAUCAUCGCCCAGAUCAUCACAUACCCCCUCCAGACCGUGAACACCCGGCAGCAGACAGAGAGAUCAGCGAAGAAGAAAAAGGCCGGUGGUGGUGGCUCUGACGCUUCCACCCUCUUCCAGAUGCUCCAGCUGGUCCAAACGGAAGGCUGGGGUGGGUUGUACAGCGGCCUCAAACCCUCACUUAUUGGCACCGCUGCCUCGCAGGGAAUCUAUUACUACUUCUACCAGCUUCUCAAGAACAAGGUCGAAGAUGUAGCAGCUGCUCGUGGGAAAAAGGGCCUAGGGGAUGGCACUGUUGGGAUGUUUUCUUGGCUUGUUAUUGCAGCUGUUGCUGGGUCAAUCAAUGUUCUUCUUACAAUUCCAAUAUGGGUUCUUGUCACACGCAUGCAGACACAUACACAGGCAGAAAGGAAGGUGAUAGAGUCCAAGAGGGAGCUUUUGCUUAAGGAAAUAUCCAGGGCCAAUCCAAUAGAUGCUCAUAUUCUUAAGGAUAGAUUAGCUAAGCUUGAUUCUGAAAAACCUCGCCCAUAUGGCACACUUCAAGCGAUCCGGGAGGUCUAUCGUGAAUCAGGCAUAAGUGGAUUCUGGAAAGGACUUGUUCCGACACUAAUUAUGGUAUGUAAUCCAUCAAUUCAGUUUAUGAUAUAUGAAACACUGUCAAAGCGUCUCAAGUCAAAGCGGUCUGGAAAGCGAUUCCCCAAGAAGAAUAUCACUGCUAUGGAGGUAUUCUUAAUAGGUGCAAUGGCAAAGCUGGGAGCUACUCUUGUGACCUACCCGUUGUUAGUGGUCAAGUCUAGGUUGCAGGCAAAACAAGAAAUUGGCAGGAACGCGGCGUCCAGAUAUACAGGUACAUUAGAUGCAAUAUUGAAGAUGAUUCGCUACGAGGGAUUGCACGGAUUUUACAAAGGAAUGGGUACAAAGAUUGUACAGAGUGUUCUUGCCGCCUCGGUCCUUUUUAUGGUGAAGGAGGAGCUGGUUAAGUUUGUAGUUCUUUUAGUUGCCAGGAGUAGGACUCUGCUUCUUACUAGAUCUAACAAACGAUAG